UGGGGAAUUUUGGACAAUGGGCGCAAGCCUGAUCCAGCCAUGCCGCGUGUCUGAAGAAGNGCCUUCGGGUUGUAAAGGACUUUUGUCAGGGAAGAAAAGGACAGGGUUAAUACCUCUGUUUGAUGACGGUACCUGAAGAAUAAGCACCGGCUAACUACGUGCCAGCAGCCGCGGUAAUACGUAGGGUGCGAGCGUUAAUCGGAAUUACUGGGCGUAAAGCGAGCGCAGACGGUUACUUAAGCAGGAUGUGAAAUCCCCGGGCUCAACCUGGGAACUGCGUUCUGAACUGGGUGACUAGAGUGUGUCAGAGGGAGGUAGAAUUCCACGUGUAGCAGUGAAAUGCGUAGAGAUGUGGAGGAAUACCGAUGGCGAAGGCAGCCUCCUGGGAUAACACUGACGUUCAUGCUCGAAAGCGUGGGUAGCAAACAGGAUUAGAUACCCUGGUAGUCCACGCCCUAAACGAUGUCAAUUAGCUGUUGGGCAACUUGAUUGCUUAGUAGCGUAGCUAACGCGUGAAAUUGACCGCCUGGGGAGUACGGUCGCAAGAUUA
rnacentral:rRNA from 1 species